ACCGGAAGACUUGGAUAUGGUGCUGAAAAUGAACGUGCAAUAAGUGAGAAAAAUGCUGCCGAACAAAGAGAGAGAGAAAGAGCAAGAGAAGCCAAAGAAGAAGAAGAGAAAAGAUUAACAUUGGAAGAGAUAUCAAAGUAUAGAAACCAAGCACAAGAGAAUGCAAUGGAAGCGAUUUCAGGAGCACAAGAGAGAUACGAAGAAGCUAAAAAACCAACAAAUGAAACACUAACAAACACAACACAAACGGCACAAGGGAAAGAAGCAACAAAAGACACUGUUUCGUGUGCUGCAAAAACUGCGGCAGAGAAAGCAGCACAAGCGAAAAACGCAACUAUUGAAAAAAGCCAGCAAGGUUAUGAAGCAACGAAGGACACGGUUUCAAGUGCUGCGAAAACUGCGGCGGAGAAAGCAGCACAGGCGAAAAAUACAACCAUUGAAAAGGGUCAGCAAGGUUAUGUAGCGACAAAGGACACAGUUUCGAGUGUUGCAAAAACUGCGGCAGAAUACGUUUCUCCUGUGGCGGAGAAAACAAAGACUGUGGUGGUGGAUUUGAAGGAUAAGGCAACAGCGGCAGGGUGGACGGCGGCGCAUUAUUCGACGCAGUUAACGGUGGAUGGAACGAAGGCAGCGGCGAAUGUUGUUGAGGGAGCGGCUAGGUAUGCUGCACCUAAGGCGGCUGAGCUUGCAGCUAAGUCUGUGGAUGUUGUGAAAGGUUUGGCUGCUUCUGCUGGUGAGUCUGCUAAGGAGUUUACUGCUAGGAAGAAAGAGGAAUCAUGGAGAGAAUAUGAAGCCAAAAGGGCUUCUCAACCUCUUCAGGUUUUUUUCUCUUUUACACUCUUUUGUUUCUCAUCUUCUUUUUUAAUUUCUUGUUGCAUCAAGUUUCUUUGUUUAGUUUUAACAUCAACAAGUGAGUUCAAUAACUUAUUAUUGUUUAAUAUUAUUCACAGUCACAAAAACUAUCUUGAUUUUCUAGCAAAAAAUUAUUAUGAAUUUGAGAGGUUUUGUGUACCUCUGCCAGAACAUCAUAAAUAACCUAUUUUAUGAUAUUGUUGAAGACUAUUUUUAACUUCACACUGAAAAUUGUGGCUUUGAACUUAGGAAGGUGAAUAUAUACCAACAUCAGAAGGUAUUGGCGAAAAUGUGAGCAACUAUACACAAAAAAUGGUACCAACUGGUGAAAGAAUUCAAGCACAAGGUCCUGGUAAUCAAGUUGAUCAGGGGAGAGGAAGCAAUGUGGUAUCCAGCAUUGGUGAAACUGUUGGAAAACUUGGUGAGAAAGUGAAGAAACCAAUUGAAAACAUGACUAGUUCUGGUAAUCAAGUUGAUCAGGGGGGAGGAAGCAAUGUGGUAUCAGGCAUUGGUGAAACUGUUGGAAAACUUGGUGAGAAAGUGAAGAAACCAAUUGAAAACGUGAUUUCUUCUGGUGAAGAAAAAAAUCUGGAAAGCACAGAACAAGGAAAAGGAGGAAGUGAUGUAUUAGGAGCUGUGAAAGAAACUGUGAGUGACAUUGGAAACAACAUGAUUAAAUCAGGAGAUAAUAAAGUUGUAGAACGUGGUGUAACUCAAGAGGGUCAAGGUGGUGUUUUGGAUGCUAUUGGUGAAACUAUAGCAGAGAUUGCACAUACAACUAAAGUUAUUGUUGUUGGUGAAGGUGAUGUAGAAGAAAAACAAAAUAAAGUGUCAAUGAAGAAUAUUGGGUCAGAGUCUCGCUCAAAAAAUGAUAAUGCCAAACAUGAAGCUUAUCAAUCACCAAAGAGUGUUUAAUUACAUUACAGUGUGUUUUGUUUGAUGGAGGAAGUUUAGUAAUGUGUGGAAGUUUUCCAUGUUUUUUAGUUUUGUUUUCA
rnacentral:lncRNA from 1 species